rnacentral:tRNA from 1 species
GCCGGGCUGGCGGAAUUGGUAGACGCACGGGACUUAAAAUCCCGGGGGCUCAGGCUCGUGCGGGUUCGAGUCCCGCGUUCGGCACCA